UAGAGGUAAGUGGAAUUCCUAGUGUAGCGGUGGAAUGCGUAGAUAUUAGGAGGAACACCAGUGGCGAAGGCGACUUACUGGGCCAUAACUGACGCUGAGGCGCGAAAGCGUGGGGAGCAAACAGGAUUAGAUACCCUGGUAGUCCACGCUGUAAACGAUGAAUACUAGGUGUAGGGGGUAUCGACCCCCCCUGUGCCGCAGCUAACGCACUAAGUAUUCCGCCUGGGGAGUACGACCGCAAGGUUGAAACUCAAAGGAAUUGACGGGGACCCGCACAAGCAGCGGAGCAUGUGGUUUAAUUCGACGCAACGCGAAGAACCUUACCAGGACUUGAUAUCCUCUGAACCCUCCAGAAAAGGAGGGGUGCCUUCGGGAGCAGAGAGACAGGUGGUGCAUGGUUGUCGUCAGCUCGUGUCGUGAGAUGUUGGGUUAAGUCCCGCAACGAGCGCAACCCUUAUGUUUAGUUACCAGCAAGUAAUGUUGGGGACUCUAGACAGACUGCCGGGGAUAACUCGGAGGAAGGUGGGGACGACGUCAAAUCAUCAUGCUCCUUACGUCCUGGGCUACACACGUGCUACAAUGGUCGUUACAAAGGGAAGCCACCCCGCGAGGGGGAGCAAAACCGAAAAAGGCGAUCUCAGUUCGGAUUGAGGGCUGCAACCCGCCCUCAUGAAGCCGGAGUUGCUAGUAAUCGCGAAUCAGCACGUCGCGGUGAAUACGUUCCCGGGUCUUGUACACACCGCCCGUCACACCACGGAAGUUGGGGGCACCCGAAGCCAGUGAGCUA
rnacentral:rRNA from 1 species